rnacentral:tRNA from 1 species
CUAUAGUGACAGAUUAAAUGUGUUAAAUUUAAGAUUUAUUUAUGAAAAUCAAUUUCCUUUAGAAA